CUGGAUGACUGACAGCUGUCCUUCAUGACAACAGAAGCCACAGAAAUCCUCCUCUUCAUCAAAAACAUGACUUUGACCUCUGUCCUCAUCUGGACUCUCCUCUGCUGCUGCUUCACAGAGUCCAGAGGUCAGGUCACAGUGACUCAGCCUGGAGCAGUGAGCUCUGCUCUGGGAGGCUCCGUCACCAUCAGCUGUAGGACCAGUCAGAGCGUUUAUGGUGGGAACUACUUGCACUGGUACCAACAGAGAAAUGGAGAAACUCCUAAACUGCUCAUUUCCUAUACUAGCAGUCGAGCAUCAGGGAUUCCAGAUCGUUUUUCAGGCAGUGGAUCAAACUCUGACUUCACUCUGACCAUCAGUGGAGUUCAGGCUGAAGAUGCAGCAGUUUACUACUGUCAGAGUUAUCAUGAGAUCAACAGUCAGCGUGUGUUCACACAGUGAA